UACGAAGGGGGCUAGCGUUGCUCGGAAUUACUGGGCGUAAAGCGCACGUAGGCGGAUUGUUAAGUCGGGGGGGAAAUCCUGGAGCUCAACUCCAGAACUGCCUUCGAUACUGGCGAUCUCGAGUUCGGGAGAGGUGAGUGGAACUGCGAGUGUAGAGGUGAAAUUCGUAGAUAUUCGCAAGAACACCAGUGGCGAAGGCGGCUCACUGGCCCGAUACUGACGCUGAGGUGCGAAAGCGUGGGGGGCAAACAGG
rnacentral:rRNA from 1 species